ACCACACCUCUGCUUUUUUUUAAUGUAUAUGUUUUAGUCAUAGAUGGAUACAGUACCUUUAUUUUUAUUUAUUUUUAUGCAGUGAUGAAAAUCAAAUUCAGUGCCACUUGUGUGCUAAGCAAAUGCUGUACCACUGAGCUACAACCCCAACCCCAGGACGGUAGUCUUUAUAACCAGAUUCUUAUUCAUAUCCCCCACUAUGUCCUGAAGAUAGACUUCUAAAAGGGAAAUUGAUGUGUAAAGGGUGUGCACCCAUGUGGCCCUUGGCUAAGUACUGCCAUCCUGAUAUUCAUAAAGGUAGUUCUCAUUUAGUGUCCUUAAAAUGUAAGUAUGUAUAAAAAAGUAUGGAGAGGCAUGAGGAAGGUAAUCAUGCUGACUUCAUGUCACCGAGGGCAGGCCUUCAACUGUACUUUGGACCCAUUCUUGAGUCACCACCAUAGUUGGAAGAUGUGAAAGGGAUCAGAGGUAAAUCAGUCUUUCACUACAAGGGCAACCUUCAGGAAAUUUUUGGUUGUUCCUGUGUUUCAAAAGAAGACUAGGGGCCAGAAAAAGAAAGAAAGCAAGGGGGUGGGCAGAGAGAGAGAGAGAGAGAGAGAGAGAGAGAGAGAGAGAGAGGGAGAGAAGGAAGGAAGACAAUUAAAAUCACAUGUUUUAAAGUUGAUGAUUUUUAGUGAAUAUAUUGAGUUGUGUAACUAUCACCAUAAUUGACUUUUAGAUGUUUCUGUCACCUAAAAAUUCCCAUUGUGCUUCAGUGCAGUUAAAUCUGCACCCACCCCCAGUCACAGGAAGCGCAGAAUUGUGUUUUUUUCUCUAUGAAUGUUUCUGUUUUUGGCAUUCCAUGUAAAUGUAAUUAUGGUAUUUGAUCUUUUGCAUCAGGAUUCAUUCACUUCAGAUAAUAUUUUCAAGGUUCAUCCAUAUUCUAGCAUUUAGAAUUCAUUUCUGUUUAUGGCUGAGUAAAAUUCUCUUGUAAGGAUAUACUGCAUUUUGUUCAUCUAGUAACUGUCGAUGGUCUUUGGAUAAUUUCCACUCUUUGUCAAUUAUGAAUGAUGAUGCUGUGUACACCUAUUUACAAGUUUCAAUGUAGACAUGUUUUCAUCUCUCUUGAGUAUAUACCUGGAAGUGGAAUUGCUGGGCGCAUGGUGACUCCGUGUUUAUGUAUUUGAGGACCUGCUAGAAUGCUUUCAUGGCCCUGACAACCAUGAGGCAUAGUUGGUAGUUUUUCUCCAUUUUAGCUCAUUCUAUGAGUUUUGAGAAAGAGUACCACAGAGUUGAAGCAACCUCCUCUCCACAUCAUAUCUGGUACUACACGAUGCUCCCAUGACAAGUCUUCACUUGGUUACGGCAGUGUUCUUUAAGUUUCUUCAGUGCACAGUAACCGUUUUCCACAUACCAGAGAGUAUGUGGAGAAAAAGAAAGAACAUACUGGCAUCAUUCUCUUUUCACUGUGAGUCCAUGUCAUUUCUGUGUGGUGGAAUGAGUUUCCUAAUAGGGAAGUGGGAAGGGAAGAAGGGAUUUGAAUCAUAACCAUUCAUCUGAAGUCACCACCCACCCCAUUUCUUCAUGUUUCCUGAAUUUUCCUGUCCCCUUAUUUUAUCCCCCUAUUUUAUAUGAGAGAAGCAUAUUCCCUUGAGCUCCUGAAUGGUGAGAGCAACUCCUCAUGCUGUAUAUGCUGCAAAGAAUGCUGGAGCAAGACAGACAGAUCUCCCUGGGCAAGCAUUAGAUCCAAACCAGAAACUUUGGAACAUUCUUGACUCAUGGUUUCCCAUUGAUUCUGAGGUACAGCAGACAGUACAGAGCAAGACAACAUGGAUGCUGGACCAAAGAUGGGAGUCAAGAGACUGGAUACCUCCCUGACUUCAGAUUCUUGGUAUGAAAAGCAAGAAGACAAAGAGCCAAGAAGAAGCAUUUCCAGUUUGAUGGAACAGUCUGCACUGUCGCUUGCUAUAACAACCUGACAUCAUAUGGUGACCAUGACAACAUUUUCCUAGAGACUUCCAUGGUAUGGCAGUAGGAGCAGGGCCCCAGCUUCAGGUAUUUGGACUCAUCGAGUGUGUGAACAGAGUUCUUCCCGUCGCCUGCGUCUGAGGCUGGUUCCUCUAAUUAGUGCACUUUCUCAGGUGGUGACCUGAAGAGUGAAGGUGUUUUGACUUCAGAGAAAGAAAGUAGACUGAGAGGAGGGCCGUGCAGAGGUAUUUCUAAUACUGAGGACCAACGUGCGUGUCAUGGCUGCCAUAGAAUCCAGAUGUCAUUAUGGCCACUAUGGUGACUGAUGACAUUUUAAAGGAGACCCACUUGCAGUGGUUGGAGAGCAUUGUCCCACUUCCAGGUGUUUGGACUCAGUGGAGGGUGUUGGGAGAUAAAGGGAUCUGAGACCCAAAUGACCUUGAUGCUGCACUGGGACUUGGUACCCCACUGACUCAAGAGGGUGAGAGACAUGGGACCUCCUGGCCCAAGGCAGUGUGAUGACCUGUGUGGAUAUUUUGGGAUCAUAAGUGCUUGUAUGCAUUUAGGCCACUUUUUAUUCCUUUUCAUAGUUGUUGUUAGCAGAUGAGAGUUGAGUAACAGAGAAAGAUAAGGUCCUGGUGAGAAGACCAUUGUACCCUCUGGCUGUUAUCAUCACUACCCAGUUGUACCAGUGCCACUGGUCACUGACCCAAUGCUUAGCAUGGCACCAGGCACACAGUUACUCUGAGGCACAGUGACUUGUGGUUCUAUUUCUCCCUGGGAAGCUCCUUGUUGGGCUUAUAUCAAGUGUCUGAAGGAUGCAGUUUCUGAGGAUCUGAGUGGUGAUGGCUGCUGAAGCUUCUACUCCACAUCUGAAUGCUGUAGUGCUCAGGAGACCCCCACACUUCCACCCCUGGUUUAAGUGAGUUCACAGAUCUAAACAUAACCCUGUUGUAGAAUAAUGUCUACAAUGUUCACAAAAUCACAUAAAAUAGACAAGCUCUUUUAACAUCAUCAUUUGAAGAAGAAAAUGGAGUUUUGUCCCAUUGGUAGCUUAUAUGCUUUGUUGUAGCCCUUGAGGCUCAUCUAGAGAUGGCUUCUUAGUCUGAAAGCAAUAGAUCCUGCAGCUUGUGGUAGGAACUUGAUAUUUAGCAUGAAUUUUACAUAAAUUUCAUAUACUUUUUUGAUUGUACGAAUAAAAAUCCAUGAUCCCUUUCAAAUCUUCAGAUGAGUGUUGAAGUAUGCAGUUGGUUAGAGGCAUCAGGAAAUUGUAAUAUGGAAUCUUCCUUUGUAGCCAAGUUUUAUCCAUUCUUAAAUUUUUUUUAUUAUUUUUUAUUAUAUUUUUUAUUAUUAUUUAUUUUUUUAUUAUUAUUAUUAUUUUUUAUUAUUAUUGUAUACAA